rnacentral:rRNA from 1 species
UGGGGAAUAUUGGACAAUGGGCGAAAGCCUGAUCCAGCAACGCCGCGUGGGUGAUGAAGGCCUUCGGGUCGUAAAGCCCUGUCAGCAGGGAAGAAACUCUUUCGUUAUAACAUGGCGGAAGAUUGACGGUACCUGCGGAGGAAGCACCGGCUAACUCCGUGCCAGCAGCCGCGGUAAAACGGAGGGUGCAAGCGUUGUUCGGAAUUACUGGGCGUAAAGCGCGUGCAGGCGGUUUUUUAAGUUCUGUGUGAAAUCCCUCGGCUCAACCGAGGAACUGCGCAGAAUACUGAAGAACUAGAAUACGGGAGAAGUGGGCGGAAUUCCCAGUGUAGAGGUGAAAUUCGUAGAUAUUGGGAGGAACACCGGUGGCGAAAGCGGCUCACUAGACCGAUAUUGACGCUCAUACGCGAGAGCAUGGGUAGCAAACAG